CACAUGGGUGAAAAGGGGUCCUGAGGCAUGAUCCUGGUUCGGGUUGUCCUGGUCUGUCUGAGGGUUAUCCGGGUUCUGGGGAAGACCCAGGUGGGAGCGUGUCCUUUUUGUCAUGGUUUCAAGAACUCACACAGGGUAUAUGGUUGCUGUUUUGGUGGUAGUGCCCACAAAUAGUAUAGAUAGUGACAGGAUGACAGAAAUAGUGUGCACAAGUAGUCAACUUACUAUUUUCAGAAAUACCACAAAUAGUUAAGUGACAAAAUGUGUGCAGGUGUGAGAC
rnacentral:lncRNA from 1 species